AUGAGAUGCCUGGAAAGUGUAGGAUCUGACAUGUGAUUUUCUGAAUAGGCAGAGAACUUAACUGAAGGAUCUAACAGAGAAGAAGUUGGAGGAAGGUGUGAAACAUCGAAUUCAUUGAUUAAAUCUAAGGUGAAAUAAUUUGUCUCCACUAGAUUGUCCAAAUCUAUCCUCUAGACUCAUUCAUAAAUCUUUAGCAAUCCUAGAGUAUAUAACACUAUCUGUGAUAUCCUUGGAAAGAGAGUUAAGGAGCCAAGAUAUUACCAUUUUAUUGCAUCUGCUCCAAGAUCGCAGAUCUGGAGAUUGAGCAUCUGGUGAAGCAUUAGCACCAGUGAUAAAAUCAAGUUUGUUCUUGGCUGACAGUGCUAUAAGCACUGAUCUCUUCCAUCCUUGAUAACCUUUUCCAUCAAUGGAGUACUAACCAAGGCCAUUCCAGGUGAAUUUGAAGAGUGAAGAUAAUAAACAUGAGUGGGAUCCAUAGUUGGUGGAGUUCUGGUGGUAGAACCAGAAGAUGCUGAAGAAAUGGUGACUUCAUCCGCCAUUGUAGAGAUAGGUCAGAUGAAGGAAAUUGAUAAUCGAGAAGAUGAUUUGUAUGUAAAAAGUAGAGACAGUAUUUGGGAAUUUUGUUCUCUGUAUAUUCCUUGCCAAUCACAUUUAUUUAUACAAGCUAAUCGAAUGAAAGGAACCUUCUCUUCUAAGCUAAACAAUCAAAAUAAAGGAAGAAGCUUCUCUUCUAAGCUAAACAAUAAAAUUCUUAUAAGCUAAACAAAAAUAAAAGAACCUUUUAUUCUAAGCUAAUCAAUGAAAGAAAACAAAGAAAACAUUCAGCUGUUGGGCCGUCUAUGUGUCCCAAAUAUUAGCCCAAAUGAACAAUCGUGAUUUCUAACAUAGUAUGCACAAAUAAGUAGUACUUUAUUGCUUAAUGGGAAAAAAACAUUUGGGUUGUUCAGUUGGUUGAGGCCUCCCAUCUUUCACUUAUGGAGAAUGUACGAAUGACAUCCCCCGCCCGAAUUUUUCUAUUUUAAAAAAACUAAUUUCUCAAUUGGUAACUCAGCUAACUCAACAAAGAAAUGACCAUUUGAGAAAUCAACUCGCAUGAUCAUUUAGGGGGGAAAGACAAACCUUAUUCAGUCAACGAGAUUAUCAGGAUCAGGUGGGAUUACAGUAAGCUUGAUAUCUUGUCUCUUAUUCUCCACUAUCUGUUUUGCGGAUGCGACUGCAUUGGGAGUGUCCUUGAGUUUGAUGAACUGAAGAUCGUCUAUAGCAGCGAGGCUAUCAGGUAGUUCCACGAGUUCUUCACA